rnacentral:rRNA from 1 species
CCUUGACAUACUAAGAACUUUCCAGAGAUGGAUUGGUGCCUUCGGGAACUUAGAUACAGGUGCUGCAUGGCUGUCGUCAGCUCGUGUCGUGAGAUGUUGGGUUAAGUCCCGCAACGAGCGCAACCCUUUUCCUAUUUGCCAGCGGGUCAUGCCGGGAACUUUAAGGAUACUGCCAGUGACAAACUGGAGGAAGGCGGGGACGACGUCAAGUCAUCAUGGCCCUUACGGCCAGGGCUACACACGUGCUGCAAUGGUCGGUACAAAGGGUUGCUACCUCGCGAGAGGAUGCUAAUCUCAAAAAGCCGAUCGUAGUCCGGAUCGCAGUCUGCAACUCGACUGCGUGAAGUCGGAAUCGCUAGUAAUCGCGGAUCAGAAUGCCGCGGUGAAUACGUUCCCGGGCCUUGUACACACCGCCCGUCACACCAUGGGAGUUUGUUGCACCAGAAGUAGGUAGUCUAACCGCAAGGAGGACGCUUACCACGGUGUGGCCGAUGACUGGGGUGAAGUCGUAACAAGGUAAGCGUAGAUGA